GUUGUAAACCUCUUAUAUCUCAGGGAAUAAGCAAGUGAAGGUACCUGAGGAAUCAGCAUCGGCUAACUCCGUGCCAGCAGCCGCGGUAAUACGGAGGAUGCAAGCGUUAUCCGGAAUGAUUGGGCGUAAAGCGUCCGUAGGUGGCUGUGUGUGUCUAUUGUUAAAGAGUUUGGCUCAACCAAAUAAGGGCGGUAGAAACUACACAGCUAGAGUGCGUUCGGGGCAGAGGGAAUUCCUGGUGUAGCGGUGAAAUGCGUAGAGAUCAGGAAGAACACCGGUGGCGAAAGCGCUCUGCUAGGCCGCAACUGACACUGAGGGACGAAAGCUAGGGGAGCGAAUGGGAUUAGAUACCCCAGUAGUCAAAG
rnacentral:rRNA from 1 species